rnacentral:rRNA from 1 species
GACGAACGCUGGCGGCGUGCCUAAUACAUGCAAGUAGAACGCUGAAGAGAGGAGCUUGUUCUUCUUGGAUGAGUCGCGAACGGGUGAGUAACGCGUAGGUAACCUGCCUUGUAGCGGGGGAUAACUAUUGGAAACGAUAGCUAAUACCGCAUAACAAUGUAUGACACAUGUCAUUUAUUUAAAAGGGGCAAUUGCUCCACUACAAGAUGGACGUGCGUUGUAUUAGCUAGUAGGCGAGGUAAUGGCUCACCUAGGCGACGAUACAUAGCCGACCUGAGAGGGUGAUCGGCCACACUGGGACUGAGACACGGCCCAGACUCCUACGGGAGGCAGCAGUAGGGAAACUUCGGCAAUGGGCGAAAGCCUGACCGAGCAACGCCGCGUGAGUGAAGAAGGUUUUCGGAUCGUAAAGAUCUGUUGUAAGAGAAGAACGGGUGUGAGAGUGGAAAGUUCACACUGUGACGGUAGCUGACCAGAAAGGGACGGCUAACUACGUG